rnacentral:rRNA from 1 species
GACGGGGGGUGCUAGCGUUGUUCGGAAUCACUGGGCGUAACGGGCGCGUAGGCGGCUCAUGAAGUCGGCUCGUGGAAGCGCGGGGCUCAACCCCGGAGGUGCGGCCGAUACUCUUGGGCUCGACGCCGGAAGAGGAGGGUGGAAUACCCAGUGUAGAGGUGAAAUUCGUAGAUAUUGGGGGGAACACCGGUGGCGAAUCCGGCUCUCUGGUCCGGUCCUGACGCUGGGGCGCUAAAGCGUUGGGAGCAAACAGC